rnacentral:miRNA from 1 species
CAGUUAAAUGUGAAUUUCAGAUCAACAGUAAAUAACUUUUUAGCAUAAGUAUCGCCAUGCAAUAUUUGGGACAUACUUAUGCUAAAAAAAUCACAUUUAACUGGAUAUUCUGUUUU